rnacentral:sRNA from 1 species
AAAACUGACGUCGCGCGUCGAGUAGGCAGUCGAUAAUGUCUCACCACGAGACAUUAUCUUACGGCGA